rnacentral:rRNA from 1 species
UACGUAGGGUGCGAGCGUUGUCCGGAAUUAUUGGGCGUAAAGAGCUUGUAGGUGGCUCGUCGCGUCGGGAGUGAAAACCCGCGGCUUAACCGCGGGCCUGCUUUCGAUACGGGCGGGCUAGAGUUCGGCAGGGGAGACUGGAAUUCCUGGUGUAGCGGUGGAAUGCGCAGAUAUCAGGAGGAACACCGAUGGCGAAGGCAGGUCUCUGGGCAUUAACUGACGCUGAGGAGCGAAAGCAUGGGGAGCGAACAGG